rnacentral:rRNA from 1 species
UGAUGGGCGGCAUGCCUACACAUUUAAGUCGAACGGCAGCACGGGUGCUUGCACCUGGUGGCGAGUGGCGAACGGGUAGUAAUACAUCGGAACGUACCUUAUCGUGGGGGAUAACGCAGCGAAAGUUGCGCUAAUACCGCAUACGCCCUGAGGGGGAAAGCGGGGGACCGUAAGGCCUCGCGCGAUUAGAGCGGCCGAUGUCUGAUUAGCUUGUUGGUGAGGUAAAAGCUCACCAAGGCGAUGAUCAGUAGCUGGUCUGAGAGGACGAUCAGCCACACUGGGACUGAGACACGGCCCAGACUCCUACGGGAGGCAGCAGUGGGGAAUCUUGGACAAUGGGGGCAACCCUGAUCCAGCAAUGCCGCGUGAGUGAAGAAGGCCUUCGGGUUGUAAAGCUCUUUUGUCAGGGAAGAAACAGCAGCUCUAACACAGUCUGCGAAUGACGGUACCUGAAGAAUAAGCACCGGCAUAACUACGUGCCAGCAGACGCGGUAAUACGUAGGGUGCGAGCGUUAAUCGGACUUACUGGGCGUACAGCGUGCGCAGGCGGAUAUACAAGAAACGGUGAAUCCCGGGCUUAACUGGGAAAGCGUCUGG